GCCAAGUAGCUCAUUCUUUUCGUAUACCUCAAACAAAUCAGCAGUGUUCCAGUACAGAAAAGUAAUUUUUUUUUGUUAUUUUUUUCUGAAAAAUAACGCACCGAUUUGCCGACUGUGAAAUAAACUCUGUGCAGCGCAAAGCAACUAUGGAUGGAUAUUCGUCAAAUAACAGCUACCAGUUUGGUUCCAGGCAAAGUUUUAGCUGUCCGAAUGGCAAUUGUUGCCCAAUGGGUGGAUCGGCACAAGCUCCACCAUCAGGUUGCCCUGGUGGCAAUUGCUGUCCUGGUGGCUUUUGCAUGCGCGACAGGUCACUCAAUCGGUCAUCUUGGCAUACACACAAUGGACGUCAGCAAUGAAGAGCUGGACGCUCCAUCUCUGGCAAAGCGGCGCGUGAUUUCGUGAAUUCGGUUCAUGUACAUCUCCUCACCGAAUGGCAACUUUAUUUAAACAGUCAUUUUUCUAUGGACACAAAAACGUAAGCACACCUACACGUACAUAAUAUAUAUGGCUCUCUUGGGAGAAAAGAACUAAAAA